UGUGGGAGCUGGCUUGCCUGCGAUAGCGGUCUGUCAGUGCCAGUUGUAUUGGCUGAUCCACCGCUAUCGCAGGCAAGCCAGCUCCCACA
rnacentral:antisense_RNA from 1 species